GUGAACGCUGGCGGCGUGCUUAACACAUGCAAGUCGAACGAUGAAGUCCCUCGGGAUGGAUUAGUGGCGCACGGGUGAGUAAUAUAUAGUUAAUGUGCCUCGAAGACUGGGAUAGCCACUGGAAACGGUGAUUAAUACUAGAUACACCUCUUUAGCUCAAGCUAGAGAGGGAAACGUUUUUUCGCUUCGAGAUCAGACUAUAUCCUAUCAGUUAGUUGGUGAGGUAAUGGCUCACCAAGGCAAUGACGGGUAGCGGUUCUGAGAGGAUGAUCCGCCACACUGGUACUGCGACACGGACCAGACUCCUACGGGAGGCAGCAGUGAGGAAUAUUGCACAAUGGGGGAAACCCUGAUGCAGCAACGCCGCGUGGAGGAUGACGCAUUUCGGUGUGUAAACUCCUUUUAUAUGUCAAGAAAAUGACGGUAGCAUAUGAAUCAGCACCGGCUACCUCCGU
rnacentral:rRNA from 1 species